rnacentral:misc_RNA from 1 species
AGUUUUGCACGUAACUAUAUAUGGCAAUCAAGAUAUAGUCAAAUCAUAGGCGAUAUACAUGAUACUAAUAAUAUUAUUUCAAUUUCCUUUACAACUCAUUUUUGGUUGUGUACAUGAAUCAUCUGACGUAUGCUUGACGUUUAACAACUAUUGAUAGCCUUUCUAAUUUAAUCACUUACCAAAUGGUGUGGAGAACUGAAAUCCCUCUCAUUAAAUCUCUAAUACUACCAUUUAUAUAAGAUUAUGAUCUAAAUAUUCUCUUUAUAAUGUUAUUGUUGAAGCAAUCACUUCUGAAUUUUUUG